UUAUACCGUGAAACUGCGAAUGGCUCAUUAAAUCAGUUAUCGUUUAUUUGAUAGUACCUUACUACUUGGAUAACCGUGGUAAUUCUAGAGCUAAUACAUGCUAAAAACCCCGACUUCGGGAGGGGUGUAUUUAUUAGAUAAAAAACCAAUGCCCUUCGGGGCUCUUUGGUGAUUCAUAAUAACUUAACGGAUCGCAUGGCCUUGCGCCGGCGACGGUUCAUUCAAAUUUCUGCCCUAUCAACUUUCGAUGGUAAGGUAUUGGCUUACCAUGGUUUCAACGGGUAACGGGGAAUUAGGGUUCGAUUCCGGAGAGGGAGCCUGAGAAACGGCUACCACAUCCAAGGAAGGCAGCAGGCGCGCAAAUUACCCAAUCCCGACACGGGGAGGUAGUGACAAUAAAUACUGAUACAGGGCUCUUUUGGGUCUUGUAAUCGGAAUGAGUACAAUUUAAACCCCUUAACGAGGAACAAUUGGAGGGCAAGUCUGGUGCCAGCAGCCGCGGUAAUUCCAGCUCCAAUAGCGUAUAUUAAAGUUGUUGCAGUUAAAAAGCUCGUAGUUGAACCUUGGGCCUGGCUGGCCGGUCCGCCUCACCGCGUGUACUGGUCCGGCCGGGCCUUUCCUUCUGGUGAGCCCCAUGCCCUUCACUGGGUGUGCGGGGGAACCAGGACUUUUACUGUGAACAAAUUAGAGUGUUCAAAGCAGGCCUUUGCUCGAAUACAUUAGCAUGGAAUAAUAGAAUAGGACGUGCGGUCCUAUUUUGUUGGUUUCUAGGACCGCCGUAAUGAUUAAUAGGGAUAGUCGGGGGCAUCAGUAUUCAAUUGUCAGA
rnacentral:rRNA from 1 species